UACAGAGGUCUCAAGCGUUGUUCGGAUUCAUUGGGCGUAAAGGGCGCGCAGGCGGCCCGGAAAGUCGGAUGUGAAAACUCGGGGCUCAACCCCGAGCGUGCACCCGAUACUGCCGGGCUUGAGGCAGGUAGGGGAGAUCGGAAUUCCUGGUGUAGCGGUGAAAUGCGCAGAUAUCAGGAAGAACACCAAUGACGAAGGCAGCUCUCUGGGACGGUACUGACGCUGAGACGCGAAAGCGUGGGGAGCGAACAGG
rnacentral:rRNA from 1 species